rfam:Schistosoma mansoni strain Puerto Rico chromosome 5, complete genome
AACCAGUUAACGAGUCCCGAAUAGGACGAAACACGCGUCCUGGUU